rnacentral:rRNA from 1 species
AUUGAACGCUGGCGGCAGGCCUAACACAUGCAAGUCGAACGAGUGGCGGACGGGUGAGUAAUGUCUGGGAAACUGCCUGAUGGAGGGGGAUAACUAAUGGAAACGGUAGCUAAUACCGCAUACCAUACGAUGUGCCCAGAUGGGAUUAGCUAGUUGGUGGGGUAAUGGCUCACCAAGGCGACGAUCCCUAGUUGGUCGGAGAGGAUGACCAGCAACACGGGAAAGGAGACGCGGUCCAGACUCCGACGGGAGGCAGCAGUGGGGAAUAUUGCACAAUGGGCGCAAGCCUGAUGCAGCCAUGCCGCGUGUAUGAAGAAGGCCUUCGGAUUGUAAAGUACUUUCGGCAGGGAGGCGUUACCCGCAGAAGAAGCACCGGCUAACUACGUGCCAGCAGCCGCGGUAAUAC